UGGGUUGGAGGUCGCUGUGCCUUCUGGGAAUCGGUCGAGCGCCGCAGGAGCGGGACGUUAGGUCAGCGGAGACCUCGGCGUGGGAUUAGGCCGGGAGUGGCCACAGCUUCGUUCAUUGGGCAGCUACCGGGGCCGGCCACGCUCCGUGAGCCCCUAUGACGAAGCCCCUUCUUGUCUCCCCAGAGCUCAGCCCGGGCCGCUGCACCUCCCUCCAAAUGUGGAUAAAGUUUCCACCCUUUGGCUCAGCCUUUUAAGGAACCUUUGUGACAGCAGAGGUGGUUUGCUCUGACACUAACCAGACUUCACUUUCUGGACGCCCACUUACCCAGGCCCAGUCUAUGGCCAUGGAAGGGAUCUUAGCAACGUGUUUACAAGAUAAUGUUUUUAUAAAAUUAGCAAAACUAAGAUAUUUUAACCCACAUCUGUUAAGACAGCUGCCUCUUUCCACUGGGACUUUCCUAUCUGGGAGCACUCAAGUAGCUAGGGCAGCUUGGGGCAUUUUUAAGUAGGGUCUUCCCGUGAGUAGGGCUUGAGUGUGUCUACUUGGCCUGCCUUUGGGUUCUGGGUUGUGCAGAGUUCAGAGGAGUUAUCUUUACUGAGAGGCCCAGUAAAGAUAAAAGGGAAAAAGUUGUGUUUCUGAAGUGUCUCCAAAUCUCCAAUGGUGGCAGACCUCAUCCACCCCUGCCAGCGAUGAAAGAAGGCCGGGAUCUGGUGAGAGAGAACCAUCAGAAGAACUGCAGCCAUGGGUCCUCCCUCUGUGUCAGGGUACUGUUUUAGGCACUGAGGACAUAGCAGAGAACGGAACAGGCUCAAGGAGAAGAGGUAAGUUCAGAAACAUAAAAGAAAUAAAGAAAUAUUCAGAAGCAUCUGAAUUUUUGACCCUCUGAUCAACACCACCAGAAAAGGAAAAAGAGAAACACGAUGGUCCAGGCUGGAGGAGUCAUCCUAGACCAUGAGGUGGAAGCCAUAUGCCGAGGAUGGCAAAGCAACAAGAUAGAGGGCAACUGGCUCCCCAUCACCAUGGAGUAGCCCUAGCAGCCCCAGACUGUUAAACUCAGACUAUAUAUGACAAGGUAAUAAAUUUCUAACCUGUGUAAACUACAUUUUUUGGUCUUUAUCAUAGAAGUUACGCCUAUAUUCUUAGUGACUGUUACAGACUGAAUGUUUGUGCCCCCUCAAAGUUCAUAUGGUGAAAUCCUAACCCCCAGUGGUAUUAGGAGGUGGGACCUUUGGGAGGUGAUUAGGUCAUGAGGGUGGAGCUCUCAUGAAUGGGAUUAGUGUCUUCAUAAAAGAGGCUCCAGAGACUCUCUUGCCCCUUCUACCAUGUGAGGACACAGUGAGAAGACGGUCAUCUGUGAUCUAGGAAGGGGCCUUGCAGCAGACACCGAAUC